AGCAUUUGCCGCGAGUUAUUGGCAAGUUCCCCUGCAGUUUGGGCUGUCUCUGUGGCUGGUUCUGCGGCGUGCGGCCAGCCAUGGAGCGCUCUGGGCCCAGCGAAGUGACAGGCUCAGACGCAUCGGGACCGGACCCGCAGCUUGCGGUCACCAUGGGCUUCACGGGGUUCGGUAAAAAAGCUCGCACAUUUGACUUGGAAGCAAUGUUUGAACAAACUCGAAGAACAGCUGUGGAAAGAAGUUGCAAAACACUGGGCCAGAUUACAGAGGGGUAUUGAUUUGCCUUGCCCCCGCCCCCACCAUCACAGUGUGUCCCUGUCCAGUGUUGGUGCUGUGUGGCAUUGGCUUGUGUCCAUAGGAGUCCAUCAAGGCAGAGCGGCAGAGUGGGAAGGCAGGUCAGCUUCCAGCUCUUCCAGGCUGCAUGUCCCACUCAAUAUCCUUUCAACCCAAUGGAAAUGGAUUGAAAGAGUGAAAGUCACUGGUCUCAAAGAAUCUACGGAAUUUAGCAUUUUGAAAAUCACAUAGCAAUUUUGGGUAGGUAUUCACCUGCACUAAAAAACCAGGCAAACAUCCGACUCCCAGGAUAAAGUGACUGAGAGCAGUAGAAGACUUGUUGAGCCUUAAGGAAUAAGAGGAAAAUUACGUUAUGAAGUGCAGGAACAGCACAGACCCAGACGAGGGGACGCAGCCCGGAGCCAGUAACCCGGCGCCACCUCCUCCCCAGGGCGCAGCGCUGGCUGAUCCCCAGAUACCGUGAUCACACGUCCCGGGUCCUGAGAGCGCCUCAUAGGUAGACAGUUCUUUGGGACUUCUGGGAUGCAGCACUUGAAGAGAGGUUUACCUAAACUUUCCUCCUGGGAGCCUGUGAUCAUUUGAAAGUAACAGAAGAAAGUUGUCAGGCUGAGGAAAGUUUCAACAGGCACUUGGUGAGAAUGGGAAGCAUCCAUUCAUUGUGAAAUCGCGGGGACAGAGGAGGAAUUCACGGGAUCAGAGCACUGAGAAACUCCAGAGGCUUCUGGUUCACCGCCCUGAUUCCACAGAUGUGGGUCAGAGGCAGAGAUGGAAGUUGGAAUGGACAAGCCUGCCCUCUCCUUGGCUCUCCAUGGCUCUGUCCUCAGGCUGUUUCUGCAAUUUGACAUGAGGCCUGGCCCCAGGGAAACCAGUGGGGCCUCAUCUCCUCCCUGUGCUGCUCUGAGGUGGAGCCUUCUCAGGGUCAGUCCAGCUCUGGAGCCCCUCUCCAGCUCGGUCACCAAAGCUGUCUGGUCCCAGGGCGGUGCUGAGUGACAGGCAUGCCAGCCAAUCCAAUCGGCAAUUUCAUAUCCAAUGCAUGUGACUGAUAAAGAGAUAACGCCCUGUCUCCAAGACACAGGCUUUACAUAAACAGCUUUAAUGACUUCUUCACUUAGAGACAAGACUCCUUAGUGGUGGAACCUCAGGCAUCCGUGCAGGACGUAAGAAAGCUGCCGUAUAUACAUGAACUGAGAAGUGUGUAGAAGAAUAAAUACUGUAAUAGGUAAUAAAAUGUAUGUAUUUUUAUUUAUGUGCUACUUUGUCUUUCUCCCUCUCUGUGUAUAUACACAUACAUACAAAAAUGUAUUCAUUCUAUGGAAAACAUGAAAGAUGUAAUAUUCUUUACAUAUGAAAUUUUAAUUAAUGUAUUUUUUCUGAUCAUAUGAACACCACAAAUAUAAUUUUAUAAUUUUUUUACCUAACAAUAACUCUUAAACAUGAAUAUACAUGGACAAUAUCAUAGUUUUUUUUUUAAUCAUAAUUAAAAUGGUUGUGAAACAUUCC
ensembl:lncRNA GUSBP1 GUSB pseudogene 1